rnacentral:lncRNA from 1 species
UGUGCGCAGUGCGGAAGUGUUAAUAUUAUGUAAAUGUGGGUGAACAAAAACCAAACUAGCUAACUUACACUAGACAAAUAUAUAAGUGUGAGUGAAGAUAUUUAAAGAGUAGAUACAUAUAUUCAGAUCAUAGGUAACCUAAGUGCAGUCCAACAUGCUAAAUAUUAAUUAUACAGGACAUGAAAUAAAGUUCAUACAUUAAUUGAAGUCUGUUAGAACCACCGUAGAGUCCUCGUAAGCCACCAACACGAAAGUCUAACUAGAACCUAGUGGGGCGCAAAACAGAAAACAUGAGUGGGUAAAA